AUACACCUUGUAUGGGAAGAGUACUGCUGUUUGUGUUCCCUUUCUAAGAAGUGAGGACUUUUCAAUGUGCCUUGGGAUUCUUGGAAUGGGAAUACAGUGAAAUACGGCAAGUUAUACCACUUUGGCUUAGCUCCUUCAUCUACAUACUCUGCUUUUUUGUGGCACAGGUGAG